rnacentral:rRNA from 1 species
UCCUACGGGACGCAGCAGUGGGGGAUAUUGCACAAUGGGGGGAACCCUGAUGCAGCGACGCCGCGUGGGUGAAGGAGCGUUUCGGCGCGUAAAGCCCUAUCGGCAGGGAAGAAGAUGACGGUACCUGACCAAGAAGCCCCGGCUAACUACGUGCCAGCAGCCGCGGUAAUACGUAGGGGGCAAGCGUUAUCCGGAUUUACUGGGUGUAAAGGGAGCGUAGACGGCGAUGCAAGUCUGAAGUGAAAGGCGGGGGCCCAACCCCCGGACUGCUUUGGAAACUGUAUAGCUGGAGUGCAGGGGAGGGA